rnacentral:rRNA from 1 species
GGAAGCCUUUGGGUUGUAACCUCUUUUCUCAGGGAAGAAGAUCUGACGGUACCUGAGGAAUAAGCAUCGGCUAACUCCGUGCCAGCAGCCGCGGUAAUACGGAGGAUGCAAGCGUUAUCCGGAAUUAUUGGGCGUAAAGCGUCCGCAGGUGGUCUUUCAAGUCUGCUGUCCAAAACCAGAGCUUACUCUGGGCAGGCGGUGGAAACUGAGAGACUAGAGUUCGGUAGGGGUAGCGGGAAUUCCCAGUGUAGCGGUGAAAUGCGUAAAUAUUGGGAAAACAUCGG